GACAGAGGGUGCAAACGUUGUUCGGAUUUACUGGGCGUAAAGCGCGUGUAGGCGGCUUUGCAAGUCGGAUGUGAAAGCCCACGGCUCAACCGGGGAAGUGCAUCCGAAACUGCAUGGCUGGAGUCUCGGAGAGGAAGGUGGAAUGCUUGGUGUAGAGGUGAAAUUCGUAGAUAUCAAGCAGAACACCUGCGGCGAAGGCGGCCUUCUGGACGAUGACUGACGCUGAGACGCGAAAGCGUGGGGAGCAAACAGG
rnacentral:rRNA from 1 species